rnacentral:rRNA from 1 species
GAUGAAACGCUGGCGGCGUGCCUCAUACAUGCAAGUCGAGCGAACGGACGAGAAGCUUGCUUCUCUGAUGUUAGCGGCGGACGGGUGAGUAACACGUGGAUAACCUACCUAUAAGACUGGGAUAACUUCGGGAAACCGGAGCUAAUACCGGAUAAUAUUUUGAACCGCAUGGUUCAAAAGUGAAAGACGGUCUUGCUGUCACUUAUAGAUGGAUCCGCGCUGCAUUAGCUAGUUGGUAAGGUAACUGCUUACCAAGGCAACGAUGCAUAGCCGACCUGAGAGGGUGAUCGGCCACACUGGAACUGAGACACGGUCCAGACUCCUACGGGAGGCAGCAGUAGGGAAUCUUCCGCAAUGGGCGCAAGCCUGACGGAGCAACGCCGCGUGAGUGAUGAAGGUCUUCGGAUCGUAAAACUCUGUUAUUAGGGAAGAACAUAUGUGUAAGUAACUGUGCACAUCUUGACGGUACCUAAUCAGAAAGCCACGGCUAACUACGUGCCAGCAGCCGCGGUAAUACGUAGGUGGCAAGCGUUAUCCGGAAUUAUUGGGCGUAAAGCGCGCGUAGGCGGUUUUUUAAGUCUGAUGUGAAAGCCCACGGCUCAACCGUGGAGGGUCAUUGGAAACUGGAAAACUUGAGUGCAGAAGGGGAAAGUGGAAUUCCAUGUGUAGCGGUGAAAUGCGCAGAGAUAUGGAGGAACACCAGUGGCGAAGGCGACUUUCUGGUCUGUAACUGACGCUGAUGUGCGAAAGCGUGGGGAUCAAACAGGAUUAGAUACCCUGGUAGUCCACGCCGUAAACGAUGAGUGCUAAGUGUUAGGGGGUUUCCGCCCCUUAGUGCUGCAGCUAACGCAUUAAGCACUCCGCCUGGGGAGUACGAACGCAGGGUUG